rnacentral:misc_RNA from 1 species
AAGUCGUAACAAGGUUUCCGUAGGUGAACCUGCGGAAGGAUCAUUAAACGAAAGCUGAGUAGUUCGCUGCUCAACCUUCCACCCUUUGAAAACAAACUUUAUUUGUUGCUUUGGCGGGGCGUGACCCUCUAGUCCCGUUGGCCUAGGCUGACGAGUCCCCGCCGGAGACCCUUAAAACUCUUAUUUAAACUAUGAAGUCUGAAUAAAAAUUUUAAUAGCGAUAAAACUUUCAACAACGGAUCUCUUGGUUCUG